AUCCCACGAGCGUCCUGGCUGCCCUGGAUCCCUGCCAUUAUGGUGAAAUACUGCAGAUCGGGGCAUUGUACGGUGUUUUGCAAGGUCGUUAAGGCACCACCUGCUGGCCAGCUGCCGAGCACACAGACACCAAAGACAAUGGAAGAAGCCUUAUGCCACCUAGCCAGAGACUGAAGUCGUGGACCAAGAAGAGGGAGGAGAUUAUGCUUUGCUCUGUGUCCCCGGGAGUAUGCCCUGUUCUGUGCUCUGCUCUGGCCUUGGCUGUGCAGAACCACCUUCUGGCCAGCUGCCCAGCACGCACCUUACAGAACCUAGCCAGAGACUGAAGUUGUGGAUUGAGAAGAGGGAG